AUAUUCACUUGGCUGGGGGGAUAUGAUGAUCAAGAAGGUGGUUUUCCUAGGGUGAGUUUCAUUCAUUGUACUUGGGGUUUGCUGACUCUCACAAUUUCCCCAAACACAGAAAAUUAAACUGCAUAAUUUUCUUUAGUGGGGGACUUCACACUCUCUCUCCCUUG
ensembl:snRNA U1 U1 spliceosomal RNA